AUCUCGGCUCUCGCAUCGAUGAAGAACGUAGCGAAAUGCGAUACUUGGUGUGAAUUGCAGAAUCCCGUGAACCAUCGAGUCUUUGAACGCAAGUUGCGCCCUAAGCCUUUUGGCCGAGGGCACGUCUGCCUGGGUGUCA
rnacentral:rRNA from 1 species